CUGUUUAAUUUUUACUACUCCUAGGUAACUAUGCUGGCCUCGCGGAUCGCACUUGAUGGGAUCAAAGCGUCCGCUAUCCAGCUAGAUAACGGGUCGAACGAAGUUGAAUAUUUAAAACAAACUUUAAUAACAUUGAGAAGGUCAAAAAGCAAGUUAAAAACACACAAAACGUUCAGUUUUUAGCCCCGUAAAAAAGUGGUCCUGUCUCUAGGGCUGGUGGGGCGAGUCUGGCGGUCCCGCGCUUCUUGAACCGCGGUUUCCGUCUCCGUUGUCGUCCCCCAGGCCCGGGAAACACCACCCGACACCUCGCAGCGUCGUCACUGGGUCAGUUCCAGGAACCGCACGAAGGGAGCGGCUCCUUUGUCUCGCGCACAGCUCCGAGUCCGCGGGGGGUCAGUGAAAGAGAAAGCAAUAAAAAAGAAGGGAGGCUGGCUUCCCUCUUGCAAGUUCGGCCGUGCGUUCGCGAUGCGCACAGAACACUCCCCGUCUGGUGUCUGCGUUGUUAGACACCACCAGUAUAUCACGGUGACAGCAAACGCACAACUUCUGUCGUUGGCCGGAAGAAUGUCUUUACAACCCCGUUUCUGGCUGUUUUCACCUCGACCUUGCGUACCCUUCCAUCUGCACUGGGCAAGCUUCGUGUAAUCACUCCGACGGGCCAGUCGUUGCGGGUUGCUUCUUUAUCUUUGAGCAGAACGAUGUCGCCUUCUUUGAGGUCGGGCUUUGCUGCUUGCCAUUUU
rnacentral:lncRNA from 1 species